CCUGCAACCAAUAAGAGAACAAAUAUAUGCAUUUAUGUAGUGCUAAUGAGGUAGGACGACAAAAUGGAAAGAGACAACUGACGAGGAAAUCAUGAAAAUCUGCAUUGCUGCAUUAAACCGAUACCAAAAUGUGUGAUGACAUAAUUACCACGCACCUUUGAGCACACAAAAAAAAAACAUAAUUCUAUAAGGUGCUAUCUAGCUUAGUUUAAAUCUUAGUACAGAAAGUAAUUUCCCAAUUGCAUUCUUAAAAUAUAUUAAUCGAAUCGAGCGUAAAUAUAUUUUUUUCCCAAUUAGCAAACUGUGCGGCCUUCGUAAAUAUUAUAAUCAAAUCAGAACCUGAAGUCCAAACAAGUUGUUGUUACGCUUUCGGCAUUUCUGGAUACUUGCCAGAAAAUCAAAAUGCUGAUAAAAAGAACAUAAUGAACGAUUCAAGAUAGUAAUAACAGAGAAUGGGGGAUACGUAUAUUGGGAAAAUUUAAAAUUAGGCAGCCAGGUUAAAAAAGCAAGAGAGCGAUUGCGUAAUCAGUUGCCCAACACCUCAAAUUCACUCUCUCUUUCAUUUCGCCCAUUAGUUAGGCGGAGAAACAUUGGCAUAGGUCGGGAAUUCAGUAGAAACUAUACAAAUUCUUUCUAUUUCUUUUUAUUUACACAACUUACAAAAGAACGCCUUUGCGCUGUUUUUGCCUUUUGUUUAUGAACAAGUGUUGCAGGCAAGGUCCAAAGUCUAAAGACGCACCAAGGUUUAUCCGCUCUGAAAGCCGAUAUCAAAUGGGUUCCUUAGAAUCUGCCGUCCCUGAUAAACAACGAAGAGCAUUUCGCUCCAAGGCGCCAAAGUUCGCCUCUUAUGCAACCGCUCAAAACCCUCAAAUCACAUGACAUGCGAGUGAUACAAAAAGGGUAUACGAGUCAAAACUCCGUAUCAGUCUGCUCCGGCGCAGUGCAUUGAACUGGCCCCAAAAUACAGAUCUUCUGCCUGCUUAUCCCUCGCACCUCUGACAUAUGGUUAAAACGCGGAGCAGAAGAGUCGAAACCGUAAGCGAUGUGAAUACGUGUUUUGUUUGCAAAGAAAGACAAUAUGAAAACAUAAUGAAGACUGCGAAAACAACAACACUUCGGUAUUUAACCAAAGUAUAAGCAAUACAAUCGCCACUGUGGGUUAUUAAUGGUCUAAUGGUCUAUUUUUUAGAGAGUGGAAAUUUGGUUAGUUUUCAUAGAUUUCAUAGAAACAUUCCCCAAAGUUCCUUUCACAAUUAUAAUAUGUUGUGAGGUAGAUAUUCCUUGUUAUUAUUUUUAGUUGGGGUAGAAAACAACAGUAAACAUUAAAAUGUUAAAAUAAACAUUAACAUACAAACACAAAUUAAAGAACAAGCACUAAAAACACUAAAAACUGCAGUAUUUUAAGCGAAACUCAACCAGAGCUCAAAAUUUUACUCUUUUGCAUACCACUGUGCGAAGCUUAAGACGUUUAAGCAACGCGGACACGGGCGAAAGUUGUUAAACUGCCUUUGUAGGUAAAUGAGUUAAAAUUAAAUGAAAAUAAAAUAUCAAAUCGUUUAUCUUUACAUGUCCGUGGGUCAGUUGCAGCCAUUUUGAUCUUGUGCCCCGGGUGCAAAGUUGGAGCUCUAAGUACACAAAAAGAUACUUAUGUUUUAAACGAUAUUGCAGAGAAUGGCGUGUUGGAAGCAAAGGUUAUGCCGAGUGUUCUGUCUAACUAAGCAAUCAUGGUCCGCUUAAAAACAAUAAGGAAAUUGUGCACAUUAAGCCUGUGAUUACUGUAAUCCGAACUUUGGACCGCCCCUCUGGUCGGCAGUGUGCGCUGUCGCACAUGUGAAAAAAUUAUGGUGGAUGUGCCUAAAUAAGCACUGCUCUGAGAACUGAUUGAAUCAGAACCGAUUCGUACAACUUGUGGGUUAGAUAACACACCCGUCGUAUGCGUAAUAUCUUACAAUGAGCAUAAAGCUGUACAGAAGGUCAACAGCCAACAGACGACUUUUUGAAAGCAAGAUAACAUUGAGAUAAAAACUUAUUUUGGAACAACACUUCCAAAUUUAGGCAUUGCCUAAAUGCUUAUUUUAUGACUGUAAUGUCAGGAAGUUCCUUGUAUCAACAUAAUCAGACCAUAAACACAGUAAUUGAGAAUACUGCGGUUCGAUAUGUAUAAUUAUUGAUCAGCCUCACAAAUAAGUUUAAUUGCACGUUUGACAAUAAAAUUGUCAGAAAGGGACUUCGCACAAACAUUAACUGAUAACCCAAAGCUCUUGAUCAUUUUCGGAGAUCUCGUGGUAACAACUUUCCCCCAACUCCAGCUAAUCAACAGGCGAAAUGCACUCUGCAUUCAGCAGAUUGCACACUACGAACUGCUUAUAAUUUCAGAGUGAAACUCACUUAAUUGCCUCUAUUAAGACAAAGGCACAAACCUUGAAUUAAUUACAGCUGAACGGCAGGUACUUGUAACUGGUGCUGUUUCCGUUUUCCUAUUGAUUGCUAUUAUUAUUUGCGCUCAUUGCACGACAAACUGCAAUCGGUCGAAAUGCAUUGGGCAAACGAACACGUCGUGCUUGAUUUAAUCAGAAAAUACACCUGAAAUCGCUACGAAAGUAGAGAGUACAAAGUAGAGCAUAGCUCGAACUUGAAACGCCGUUUUAAGACUGUUAUUUGUAUUUUGCUGACGCCAAUGCAACUGCCACUUCACAAAUCGGAAAACUCAAGCCAAGUGAGCUGUCAAAGUCCAAGAUCGCUUUUAGCUCCAAGCGCAGACAUUACAAAAUUGCCAAACAAUGCCAAAAAAAUUCGAGUGCAAGGCGCUCUACACUAAUUGUGUGGUAUAGCAACAACAAAGAGAAAACUUUAAAUCACAAAGAACACGUCACCAGAAAUGCCUCAGACAAAAACGUGUCCACUUACGUGGACUUCAUUUCUGUGUUUCGUGCAAAAUUCAGUACGAGUAUACCCCACUCUGCUGUGGAAGUUGCGCAGCAGAAAAAUCAAAGGGUGACUCAACUCUUUCCCUUUGCAGUUUGGGUAAUACAUUCCCGGCUCCAGUUUUAGCCACCUGCGUACCUGUGUGCUCGAUUCCCCGUCGAUCAGCUGCGUUAUUGUUUACAAUUGGAAAUGUACCUACAGCGCUUGCAUAAAUGCCACUUGAACUUUGGCCAAGGUGUCGGCGUUCAUGGGAAAUAGCAACGGGAACUACCGACUGCCUUGACAUUGAAACGGGGCGGGCGGUGGAAUGGAGGGACCGCCGCGAGUGCGCACUAUGCAAAAUGUGAAUUAAAUUGCAACAUUUGAUUCACUUAUUUCCAGGCAGGCGGCGUUACGUGAGUGUCUGCCAUACCUCCGACUGCCUCGCUCCCUCGAGCGGCGAUUCUCUGGCGAAUAAUGGGUCGCAGUCGCAGAACACACAUGAAAACGAGAAGAAUUGCUCAAACGAGAUUGAAAUGAAGCAAACAACAGUUGUGCACAGAGCGAAAUAACACUUGUUUGAUGGCUUAUUUAAGAGAUUAGCUUUGGAACAAACCAAACCUGUUAUUUUUACAAAAUAUAUAAACAAAUCUUUAUCUGGAUAUUUUAAUUACCUGAGGUUCACUUAGAAAAGCCAAACAACAUUGGUUGGAAAGGUUCUAAUUGGAUUAUUUAAGCUAUCCAAGUUCUUGUAUAACAAUUUUAAAAAGACUUGAAAAAUGAGUAUUCCACGCACUCUCAUUAUUUAUAAAUAAAGAUAAGAAUAAUCGUAGUUUUUGCAAUUAAAACAUACAAUCCAUGUGGCAACUAUUGGAAAAUAUUUUCGGUGUGACCUCAACAGCAUCAGCAAGUGAGAAGUGAGAACUUUUGCACGGGCGUUGAAUAUUUCACUGAAUGAAAGAGUAGCAAACACGGCAAACAAACAAGCAAACGAGUGACCGUCUGUGUGUGGGAGUGUUUUGGAGGCGAACUGAAAAUAAAUACGAUUAGCUCCGGCGGAGAAAGAGAGAAAGGAGAGCGCUACACCCACACGACCGCAGAGAAGAAAGAUCGGCACACUCUCUUUUGCACUCGCUCACCUCGCAUGAACAUUAACACUCGAGAUAGUCACGUAUGCAUGUGUGUAUGUAAAUGGGAGUGUGUGAAAGUAAGGCAGUUGCGUAGCGCUAAAAUAAAUGACCUAGACAAACGAGUACUUAUCUUUAGAGUGACCAUCACCGCGGAGCACGUGCUCGAGUGAAAUUUUCCAGGGAAAUACAGACUUUGGCAAUGAUCGCGAGAGGUGGGGGCAGUGGCGAAGUCAAACGGCCAAACGGCCGGUUUAAUCGAAGCGGUACUGCGCGAAAACCGGUUAGAAAAUCCAACAAAGUCAUGACUAAAACAAACACCAUCCAGGGGCUUAGAUCAAAAGGGGCCCAAAUACCUCUCGUGAAUGUGAACGGUGUAUAACUCCGUGUGGCAAAAGUUCCUUCGCAAACUACUGCCCCUGAAACUGAAAUACAAACAACUUGUUUUCUAAACCAGACGCUUGCCAAACAUAGAGCAUUGGAAACCGCAACAAGGUAGAAAAUUCGGUUGGUAUGCCAACUAGAGAUAGAACCGGAAACCAAAACAUUGGAGAGAUUAGGCACUCGGGAAAAUGUAUUAAUCUAUCUAGAGUAUAUAAUUAAAAACUUUAUAGAGGUUAAUAUAUUGGUUUUAUUUUAAGUUUUACUUUUAUUCAUACUCUAUGAAUUAUAUGAAUAUUUCAAGAUAUUAUUCCACCUUUUUUGGUAUUCAAUUAAUAAAAAUAACUGAAAAAUAA